rnacentral:rRNA from 1 species
GACGAACGCUGGCGGCGUGCUUAACACAUGCCAGUCGAACGGAAAGGCCCUGCUUGCAGGGUACUCGAGUGGCGAACGGGUGAGUAACACGUGGGUGAUCUGCCCUGCUCUUCGGGAUAAGCUUGGGAAACUGGGUCUAAUACCGGAUAGGAGCCAUCUUUAGUGUGGUGGUUGGAAAGUUUUUUCGGUGUAGGAUGAGCUCGCGGCCUAUCAGCUUGUUGGUGGGGUAAUGGCCUACCAAGGCGGCGACGGGUAGCCGGCCUGAGAGGGUGUACGGCCACAUUGGGACUGGGAUACGGCCCAGACUCCUACGGGAGGCAGCAGUGGGGAAUAUUGCACAAUGGGCGCAAGCCUGAUGCAGCGACGCCGCGUGGGGGAUGAAGGCCUUCGGGUUGUAAACUCCUUUCGCUAGGGACGAAGCUUUGUUGUGACGGUACCUAGAUAAGAAGCACCGGCUAACUACGUG